UCCUUCCUUGUCUAGCAAUUCAUUAUUUUUUUCUUUUGAGAAAUCAUUCCCAAAAAGACCCAAAGUAUUCUCUCCCUCCUUUAUCUUGUAGGAACUCAACCUGAGAAGCGCUUCGGCCUCGGAACCAAGCUUGUGAAGAUAUGUGGAACCCCCCCCACCGAAGUUGCCUCCCCUGUUUCAUGCCUGGGCCUUCUAUAGGCUGCCAUCCCUCUCUCUCCUCCUUCUUAUUUCACGUUGAGAUGAGGAUAGAUUGAAGCUGGAUGAAGCUGCGAGAUCUCUGCUGGCUCUAGUCUCGAUCGUUUGAACAACCUGUGAGGAUAAUCUCAUGUUUUAUUUUGUUGUAACAGGAGAUCCGGCAAAGAUGAGUUGGCUGGGAGCUUAUCCGUGGAGAUGGGAAUGAACUGGGAACGGAGACGUGAGAGGAUCUCGGCCUACUGGGUGGAGGCAGUCGGUUGGGAACGAUCUGGGAUAUAACUUGGCUUGAUUCAUGAUGAAGAUAAGAUGGCUUGAAGGGGAGGUAAGCUGGAACUUUGAACACGGAAGGAAUAAGGAUGCAGGGGAUUCGAGCUUAUCCGAGCUAGCGGAAGCUGAACGGAAGAAGGCUUGAAAACGCAAUCCAUGGAAUGGAGAGAGGAUGGGUUCUAGAUUCGGCUGGGAGCGCCUGGGAACAGGGGAUAAGCUUGGAUUCGGUUGACAGUUUAGAUGAAGCUUGCUUGGAAGCUUGGGAACGGCUGGCCAUGGGAUAAGGAUGCAUUUGUUGGCUUGACUCGAGAUGAAGGGAUGAUGGGAUGCACGUGGAGAUGGUUGAAUGCUGUCGCUGGGUUGAAUCACGGGGGGGUUUGGAUUCGGCUGGGAUUUGUUCUGAAACAGGGGAGGAGCACGUGAAGCUCGGAUGCUGGGAACAAAUGCGUAGGUUGGCUUGAUCCGAGGAUGCAGAUGAUGGCGUGGACGUUGAGAAGAUCCUGGUUCUGUUCCCGUGGCUGGGGUCAAUCCGAAUGCUGGGAAGGCGUUGGAUUUGGUUUGGAAGAAGAUAAGGAUGAUAGUUUCGAAGCAGGGGAUGGCUGGGAGUUAAUCCGGAAGGGGAGUUCUAAUCCGUGGAUGCUAGAGAUCAAGCUGGU
rnacentral:lncRNA from 1 species